GAAAUGCGAUAAGUAAUGUGAAUUGCAGAAUUCAGUGAAUCAUCGAAUCUUUGAACGCACCUUGCGCUCCUUGGUAUUCCUUGGAGCAUGCCUGUUUGAGUAUCAUGAAAUCUUCAAAGUAAAUCUUUUGUUAACUCAAUUGGUUUCUACUUUGGUAUUGGAGGUCUUUGCAGCUUCACACCUGCUCCUCUUUGUUCAUUAGCUGGAUCUCAGUGUUAUGCUUGGUUCCACUAGGCGUGAUAAGUUAUCUAUCGCUGAGGACACUGUAAAAGGUGGCCAAGGUAAAUGCAGAUGAACCGCUUCUAAUAGUCCAUUGACUUGGACAAUACUUUUAUGAUCUGAUCUCAACUCAGGUAGGACUACCCGCUGAACUUAAGC
rnacentral:misc_RNA from 1 species